UCGGACGUGGUGCACUGUGCACACCGCUCACGCUUAGCGCACUGAACUUGAUGUUGUGAUGCGGGAACCUGGGUUCGACUCCCAGCGUCCGAA